UACGUAGGGGGCGAGCGUUGUCCGGAUUUAUUGGGCGUAAAGAGCGUGUAGGCGGCCAGGUAGGUCUGCUGUGAAAACUCGAGGCUCAACCUCGAGACGUCGGCGGAAACCAUCUGGCUAGAGUCCGGAAGAGGAGAGUGGAAUUCCUGGUGUAGCGGUGAAAUGCGCAGAUAUCAGGAGGAACACCGGUGGCGAAGGCGGCUUGCUGGGCCUUACCUGACGCUGAGGAGCGAAAGCGUGGGGAGCGAACAGG
rnacentral:rRNA from 1 species